rnacentral:rRNA from 1 species
UACAGAGGUGGCAAGCGUUGUUCGGAUUUAUUGGGCGUAAAGGGUCCGUAGGCGGUUUGGAUAGUCAGAUGUGAAAUCCCACAGCUCAACUGUGGAACUGCAUUUGAAACUUCCAGACUAGAGUAUGAGAGGGGUAAGGGGAAUUCCCGGUGUAAGGGUGAAAUCUGCAGAGAUCGGGAGGAACACCGGUCGCGAAGGCGCCUUACUGGCUCAUUACUGACGCUCAGGGACGAAAGCUAGGGGAGCAAACGGG